rnacentral:rRNA from 1 species
ACUGUCGCCGUUGACUUCUCACCUUCUGGAGAAGCUCGAUGUCCUUAAUUGGGUGUCUUGCGGAACCAGGACCUUUACCUUGAAAAAUUAGAGUGUUUAAAGCAGGCAUUGUUGCUCGAAUACAUUAGCAUGGAAUAAUAGAAUAGGACGGCAUGGUCCUAUUUGUUGGUUUCUAGGAUCACCGUGAUGA